UCCCUCCUGCUUCCCACCACAGGCUCAGCUUCCCUCGUCCUCCCGAGAAGGACAGGGUGUAACAUCGCGCUGCAGCUCCUUCCAGCCGACUUGUGUCACUUUGCUUCUCAAAAGGAGUCUUUAGAUGCCUUUGACCUCUUGUAUGGUAUCCUUUCUAGUUUAUCUUUCGAUUUCUUCAUGUUCUCCUUUUUGAUCACACCAAAGGAUUGCAGACACUGAGCAGCUCCUUAAUAUGAGAAUUUUGAAGCAUACAUUCUUUACAGCAAGACAAAGUUACAAUUGCUCUGUCGCUCGAAAUGUUUGGAAGAAAAAAUUAUGUUAAAAAAAGUCAAACCAUGACAGUCUGACCCAAAGCUCGCUGUCCUGCCAUAAACUUUGGUGAAGUUUGGAGCAGGGACUGUGUAUUUCAAUAUUGAACUUGAACACACCUCUUAAAAAAAAAAAAAAAAAAAAAAAGGGGGAAAGAAAAGUGGCAAACAUUUCAGUAAACAGCAGCAAUGAGUACACUUCUGAUUAAGGCAUAAACAGGUCCAGAAAAUGUCACCAGCCCACACAUGCCCAGGUACAGAAAUCCCUGUUGGGGAAAAAGGUCUUUGGUGUACAAUCACAUUUGUAAUGAUGCAAGCUGCAAAGGGUAAGUAAUAAAAAUAGCGCAUUGCCAGAUUUUGUAAAUAACACAGGGCUGGUGUGCGCAGCUGCAAAAAAGCUCUCUAAGCAUGGGUACUACGUUCCUGCCUGUGUGACCAUGGAACUUCUGGGCCCGUGAGAGGGGCUGUAAGCGUGGAGCUCACUGUCCUAGCCUGCGAGAAGCCCAUGCCUCUCCCUCUCACAGCACAGUCCCGCUGGGAAAGCUCUGUGGCUGGGGAUGGAGCAGGCUGGUCUGUCAGCAGAGGGAAGAAGGAGAGGAAAUAAUGAAGGCUUCCCUGAGGGAAGCUGAGCAGAAAAGACCUUUCGACCUGACUAAUGGCUGACAUACGAGACUCCUGUGCCGGAUCAAUUGCUUCGACAAAUGCGAAGGGUGACGGCUGGGAAGAUCACAAAACCCCUGCGCCUGGGGAGCUGCACGGGCUCGGCAUUGAGAUGAAGGCACUCGCUUGCCUGGGUGGAAGCAGAAACCAGAAACUGAAUUUCACAUUGACAAAUUUCACACUUGAUAGGUUUUGAUCAGACCUGGAGAGUCGUAGCUGUUAAAAUGCAACCUGAAUGCAACUUUCACAUUGGAUAACUAGAUAAUGCAACUCUGGAUGAAUUAAAAAUAUAGGGUGCAA